ACGACCUUACUUGAACAGGAUCUGUUCUAUAGGCUCGUACCUCUGUAUCCUUGAUUUCUAAGGAGACAGGCCCCAAACCCUGGUUGAUGAAACAUAGCCGUGUUAUCUGAGUGUGAUUAACGGUGAAGAUUGUCUUUGGACUAUCCAAGCUGUAGAGGAUCGCUAUCUGGUUUGGUCUUGACCUAGCCAGAGUGGUCGCACGGUUGUCUGACAGGUU
rnacentral:snoRNA from 2 species